rnacentral:pre_miRNA from 1 species
UAGGUACUCCCUCCGUUCGGAAUUACUUAUUGCAGAAAUGGAUGUAUCUAGACGUAUUUUAGUUUUAGAUACAUCCAUUUUUGAGACAAGUAAUUCUGAUGGAGUGAGUAGCUU